rnacentral:rRNA from 1 species
AUUGAACGCUGGCGGCAGGCCUAACACAUGCAAGUCGAGCGGAUGAAGGGAGCUUGCUCCUGGAUUCAGCGGCGGACGGGUGAGUAAUGCCUAGGAAUCUGCCUGGUAGUGGGGGAUAACGUCCGGAAACGGGCGCUAAUACCGCAUACGUCCUGAGGGAGAAAGUGGGGGAUCUUCGGACCUCACGCUAUCAGAUGAGCCUAGGUCGGAUUAGCUAGUUGGUGGGGUAAAGGCCUACCAAGGCGACGAUCCGUAACUGGUCUGAGAGGAUGAUCAGUCACACUGGAACUGAGACACGGUCCAGACUCCUACGGGAGGCAGCAGUGGGGAAUAUUGGACAAAGGGCGAAAGCCUGAUCCAGCCAUGCCGCGUGUGUGAAGAAGGUCUUCGGAUUGUAAAGCACUUUAAGUUGGGAGGAAGGGCAGUAAGUUAAUACCUUGCUGUUUUGACCUUACCAACAGAAUAAGCACCGGCUAACUUCGUG